AUCCUUCCGUAGGUGAACCUGCGGAAGGAUCAUUAAAUUUCUUUGGCGUGCCACUGUCGGGAGGCGCUGUAAGCCCGUAUAGUAUAAUUAUACUGACUGCAAACCAAUUUCAAAGCGUAUUUGUUAUAGGGUUUCAGCGGUAAUAGCACUAAUUAUACUGCUUGAGCGGCUAGCCCUCUGUCUGAACCCUUGUCUUUUGUGCACUUGUUUCCUCGGCGGGUCUGCCCGUCUUUAGGACCAAACUAUAACCCUUUUUAUUUUUAAUCUGCGUCUGAAAACAAUAUAAUCAUUACAACUUUCAACAACGGAUCUCUUGGUUCUGGCAUCGAUGAAGAACGCAGCGAAAUGCGAUAAGUAGUGUGAAUUGCAGAAUUCAGUGAAUCAUCGAAUCUUUGAACGCACAUUGCGCCCCUUGGUAUUCCAUGGGGCAUGCCUGUUCGAGCGUCAUUUGUACCCUCAAGCUUUGCUUGGUGUUGGGUGUUUGUCCUCUCCUCUGUGUUUGGACUCGCCUUAAAAUAAUUGGCAGCCAGUGUUUUGGUAUAGAAGCGCAGCACAUUUUGCGAUUCUGGCUGAUAAUACUUGCAUCCAUAAGCCCUUUUUAUUAACGCUUGACCUCGGAUCAGGUAGGGAUACCCGCUGAACUUAAGCAUAUCAAUAAGCGGAGGA
rnacentral:rRNA from 1 species